AAGUCAAGUAGGUUCGAACAAAGAUGGAUAUGGAUUUGGUUUAGGCUAGAAAAGAUGUGAAAUAGGUUUGGUCAAAUUUGGUUUAGGUUUAAUUAGAAAAUGGUUUUGGUUUUGGUACGAAUUGGAAUUGGGUAUUGGUAUGAAAUGGUAUGGGAUUUUUGGUACGAAAUGGCGCAAAAAGGUCAAGAUUGAACCAAAACUAAAGAAGAGUGUUGACCCG
rnacentral:lncRNA from 1 species